ACAUGUAAGGGUGAUCUGGCUUGAUGACAUCUUUCACCCCAAUGAUCGCCAAGGUUGAUUCGGCCGACCUGGCUGGCUAGGCGGGCGUCCCCUUCCUCCGACACGGCUCCGUGUGCGUCCUUCCUGAAGCCGUGCAUUCUGUGCAAGAGGACAACCUUCCCUGAUAGCUGAGCACCAUUUCCUCAGUGAAAGACAUACAAGGAGCUGCCCUCCUCCGCUAGAUCCUCCAAACAAGUUCUCAAAAUAAAAAAUUAGAAAGAGAUGGGGAUAUAGCUCAGAGCAAAGACCCU
ensembl:misc_RNA 7SK 7SK RNA